rnacentral:rRNA from 1 species
UGAACGCUAGCGGCAGGCCUAACACAUGCAAGUCGAGGGAGAAGCCCUUUCGGGGGCAGAAACCGGCGCACGGGUGCGUAACGCGUAUGCAACCUACCUUUCACAGGGGGAUAGCCCGAAGAAAUUUGGAUUAAUACCCCAUAAUAUUAUUGGAUGGCAUCAUUUGAUAAUUAAAACUGCGGUGGUGAAAGAUGGGCAUGCGUCCUAUUAGCUAGUUGGAGUGGUAACGGCACCCCAAGGCUACGAUAGGUAGGGGUCCUGAGAGGGAGAUCCCCCACACUGGUACUGAGACAGGGACCAGACUCCUACGGGAGGCAGCAGUGAGGAAUAUUGAUCAAUGGUCGGAAGACUGAACCAGCCAUGCCGCGUGCAGGAAGAAUGCCUUAUGGGUUGUAAACUGCUUUUAUAUGGGAAGAAUAAGGCGUACGUGUACGUUGAUGACGGUACCAUAUGAAUAAGCAUCGGCUAACUCCGUG